rnacentral:rRNA from 1 species
UACGUAGGGUGCAAGCGUUAAUCGGAAUUACUGGGCGUAAAGCGUGCGCAGGCGGUUCCAUAAGACAGAUGUGAAAUCCCCGGGCCCAACCUGGGAACUGCAUUUGUGACUGUGGGGCUAGAGUACGGUAGAGGGGGAUAGAAUUCCGCGUGUAGCAGUGAAAUGCGUAGAUAUGCGGAGGAACACCAAUGGCGAAGGCAAUCCCCUGGACCUGUACUGACGCUCAUGCACGUAAGCGUGGGGAGCAAACAGG